GAUGAAGAACGCAGCGAAAUGCGAUAAGUAAUGUGAAUUGCAGAAUUCAGUGAAUCAUCGAAUCUUUGAACGCACAUUGCGCCCGUCAGUAUUCUGGCGGGCAUGCCUGUUCGAGCGUCAUUACGCCCCUCAAGUCCCCUGUGGACUUGGUGUUGGGGAUCGGCGAGGCUGGUUUUCCAGCACAGCCGUCCCUUACAUUAAUUGGCGGUCUCGCCGUGGCCCUCCUCUGCGCAGUAGUAAAACACUCGCAACAGGAGCCCGGCGCGGUCCACUGCCGUAAAACCCCCCAACUUUUUAUAGUUGACCUCGAAUCAGGUAGGACUACCCGCUGAACUUAAGCAUAUCAAUAAGCGGAGGA
rnacentral:misc_RNA from 1 species